GAUGAACGCUGGCGGCGUGCUUAACACAUGCAAGUCGAACGAAGCACUUUACCAGAUUUCUUCGGAAUGAAAGUUUUGUGACUGAGUGGCGGACGGGUGAGUAACGCGUGGGUAACCUGCCUCAUACAGGGGGAUAACAGUUGGAAACGACUGCUAAUACCGCAUAAGCGCACGGUAUCGCAUGAUAUAGUGUGAAAAAUUCCGGUGGUAUGAGAUGGGCCCGCGUCUGAUUAGCUAGUUGGUAAGGUAACGGCUUAUCAAGGCGACGAUCAGUAGCCGACCUGAGAGGGUGACCGGCCACAUUGGGACUGAGACACGGCCCAA
rnacentral:rRNA from 1 species